UCAUUAUCCCAGAAUUUGUUUAUCAUAAUCCAAUUUUUAUCGAAUCAGUGAACUGUCGUACUCAAUCGAACUCCCAAACCGCGUACACUAUUCAAUAUAUUUAUAUCCAGGAUCUGUUUUGUUUCGGAUAAGUAUCAAAUUAGUUAUUUGUUAUGUUCCUUGUUCAAGAAAAAGAAGUUAUUUGUUAAGUUCCAUCAAGUUUUGUUAUCCAGAUCUUUUGAAUAUGACCAUGGAACGAAACAAACCAUUUUUAGCCUGCGCAAACUAGUGUAUUCGAAUUUAGAGUAUUGUUUUUAUUCUAAAAAUUAUCAAAUAAAAACUGAAUAUAUAAUAGAGCAAAUUAGCUCAAUAUACUAAAAAGGGUGAGAUACCAUAAUGGGAAGAAAAUGAUAAUGAUAGGGGAAAGAAAAUUGAAGGGAUAUAGAGUAUGUAAUGCAAAUAGAGGAUAUUUGGUGUGUAUGGAGUACAAAUUCUCUAUAUAAUAACACUCGUAUUUAGAUAGAUAUAGUUAAGACCAUUAUGCAUAUAUUAUCCUAAAAAUACAUUAGUUUUGACUUUCAAAUUUUCAAAAAUUAAUAUAUACAGAUUUUGUUCAGACAUAUAUAUAUAUAUAGAUUAUAUCAUUUUAAUACAUAAAUUUACUAAAAUUUAUCUUAAAAUGUGUAUUUUUUUUUGUCAACAUCUUAAAAUGUGUAUACUUCAUUAAAUUUCAAAGUCUGUUCUGGCCACGGUUUUCAUAUAUAUUAUCGACCAAACUACAAUUAGUUGGAGGACAAAAUAGUGGAAAAUCCUUAUUAACGUCUAGCUUGGGCAUAUAUCACCUUUGGAAAGUACUAACAUUUGUUUUACUCUGAAGCAAAUAAUUCAUAAGAUAAGGUAUACAUUAAGAAAAAAAGUAAUAUUUUGGUUUUGGGAAACGAAGACUAACCAACACAGAUGUGAAGACGGCAAAGAAAGCACCAAACCCGAGAAUAACGGCGUACCCAACGCCUUGGUCGAGCACCGUAGUAUCUCCGAAGAAGCUGCUCCGCCUCUCGCAUCCGCUUCCGCCACCGUUGUAAUAUUUCGCCGAGAAGUCGAAAGGAGGACACGUGGCCAUAUCUUCUUUCUUCUUCCUCGCACUUUAUAUUGUUGUAAAUGGAAAAGUGGAUAUGUUUCUUCGGAAAUAUGUAGGGAGUGGUAGUUGAAAGAUUCUUCGAUCACUUGUUUAUAGAAAGAAUCUUCAGACAAGGAAGAAUCUCGAUUUGUUCAAAGAAAAUGAAUCUUUUAAACUAAC